CACGCGGCUUUGCCAGAGUGGUACCUCUGCAGCUGGGGCUAGAGAAUCACUGUGCAGCUUUGGCAAAGAGCACCACGUGGCUCUGGCAGAGUAGGGGAUACCCGCAGCCAUGUGAGGAGAGGGAACCACGGGGCUGUGGCAGCGCAGAGAGAAAGCCACUCGCUUCUGGCAGAGUGGGGACCCCUGCAGCCAUGUGAAGGAAAGAACCAUGCGGCUUUGCCAGAGUGGCGACCCUACCUUCCCCGCAGCUCUGGUGAAGGAAAGAAGACACUUUGCCUGGAAAAAAGGUGAAAGAACUCUUUGCCAGUGGACCAUGAGAAGGUGCAACAUGACUUUGGAGAUCCUGCCUGGAUGGCGACACAGCUGAUGGUGCCAGCAACCUGAAGCACAGAUGUUUGCUUCUCUUCCUGAGAUACGGACCAGAUCACCGGCCCUUGAGGGCUGGCACCCUGACCUGCUGAUCCCUGUAUCCCCGCACUGCGCCUAGGACUCGGUAAGUGUCUGCUGGAGGAACUGAGUCAAGAGUGCACUGCUGGCCAACCCCAUCGUCUCUCUCGGAAAUGCCCAGGGUUCCCUUGAGAAGUGUGCCUUUUCGUAGCCAACCCAACGGACGGACUCCAGACAGUGACUGACGGAAGAGAAGGAAAUGGCCAGAAAGGGCAAGAGGGAGGAUUCAAUGAACCAUGAUUAAGGAUGAGUUACUUUCAGUGAUACCGGGAGGGGGCCGAGGAGGUGAGAGCAAACUGGGUGUGUGCUCAUGCUUGUCCUAGGUGGAUGCUGGUGAUGGGGGCAGCGGGUUUGUCUCCCUGCUCUAUUUACGCACGUAUCUGACAUUUUUGUGGUGAAAAGAUUUGAAGACAAAGGCCGAGGAGGAGGAGAAGCAGCAGGUUUGCAGACUCAGAGGAGGCUCCAGGAGAGGGGUACGAGGGCCAGGGUCAGGAUAAGAGUCUCCCUCCACGGGGGGCCACCUUCGCGGCGGCAGCACCCCUGCCCUCCAAGCACCUCUCCUCCUGUGCUUCCACGCCUCCACAUUCAUGUCUGCGGCUCCCCAACCCAUCGAGUCUGGAACAUCCCAGAUGGGAACAGGAGGCCCUCAGAACCGGCUCUACUUCAACUAAUUGUCACAUGUGCAGGAGGGCAACCCCUCGUCCACGCAUGAUAAGGCGCAACAGGUCUCCUGGGGCAGAAAGCCCUGGACGUUACUUAAAUCACACCAAGCAGUGCCCUCUACAUGCAAGGACACACCUCAGGUUGUAGGGGCCACCUGGGUAGAAGUUUCCGUACUCUGGGAGCCUUCCUGGGGCUGUGGGGGCCCGUGCAGACCACCCCCACCAGGGCUGUGCUUGGGGACACACAGGGUGCUCCCUGCAGCUGGGAUUUGCCCAUGGGUCGCUGUGGUCAGACAAUGAGCGGCCGCCACGCACCAAGCACUGAGCUGAUUUCAUACACAGGUCUUUCCACGGCAGUCCCAGCACCCACACGGGGUUAGGGGUGAACAAGCCCGAGCCCCUCCCACAGAAGAGCUGAAGUUCCUCCUCCCAUUCCUGGUGCCCUCUCUUUCCUACCACCAGGCAGUGGAAGGAAUGAUAUUUGUAAUGGAGAUGAGGCCCCUCCUUGUGCGCGAUGCUGACAGACGAGAGGAAGAUUCCGGAGAGAAAUGCCACAGCAGCAGAUGAACACAAAUGGCGCUUUUCCACUUGGUGCGUAUAAAACGCCUGUUGUACCCGGAUCUCAAAGGUCUCCAGGACGCAAGGCCCUGACCAGCACUCACGCAGGGUAAAUGUGAAGGGAAGAAAGUCCAGGCGUUGGUCCCAUGCAAUGGUCUCGCCUUCUGGGUAGGAAAACAAAAGUGUGCAGAUGGAUAAUGACAUCUGUGGAUUCUGGCUUCAUGUCUUAAAUGGGAAAAAUGUAAAUAAAUGUGUAAAAAAUUGUCAUAUGUGGGUAAUACCCGUGGUUCAUCUGGUAGUUACCAUUCUGCCCAAGACUUGCCCGCGAUGGAUUCUGUCGCUGGGAGCCCUGUGACUGCAUUACACUGAGAACAUAAAAUCCAGCUCUUUGAUGCCCACGAGGAAGACGAGUGUUACAGAGAUGUUCCGCAAAGAGGUCCCGGCAGAGGCCAGUGGAGACACUUGCUGCUUUUGCACUAAGCGAUGCAUUCCUUUUGUUCCCUCCACCGGAAGCCUCCUUAUAAAUGCUUAAUCGCUAAAAGAUUCAUUGGAGUCUGCAAAGGCCAAGCCCUUAUCUGGAAAGGCUGAGAGAACCCACAAGCAGCGCCUGACCAUGGCAUUGAUUUGAAGGUUCAUUCAGGAAUUCUUUCCUUCUCACUCUUUGCCGAAGGUGCAAGCUCAGCGUGAACAAUAAUGCCUGGGCUCCAGCCACCAGUGAGGUGCCUGAGGAGCAGACGCCUGUGACUUUGAAACUGUUCCUAGGAGUCACAGAGGGUAAUAAUCAGCUCUGGGGGAUAAACCUCACAAAGGCCUUAAGAACGGUUCUGCGAAAGCGAUGCUCUGCAGAGACGUCACUUGCCUUGUAUUCUGAAAGUCACCCGUGGGCCUUGCUUGCAAAAGAAUCCAAAUGCCUCUGGGUAUCUAGACUGCAUUGCUCCCAUCUAAAGACAGAUGUGAUUGGUUCAGAUAAUGCGGAAUCUCUCCUCCAGCUCAAAACAUCUAGGACCGGGAGUCAGGAGCUCAGGGCCUUUCAAGGUCCAGCGCGGAGCACACAGCAAGGCUGGGUAGGUGUGUGACACCAGGCCAUGCAGCGACACCGACCGCAGGAGCCCCAUCCAACAGUUUCCUGAUGGGUCCCCUUUCACGUGGUGCUGUUCGGGGACUCGGAGGGCCCUAGGCACAUCUGUCUGACAUACUGUUUUCCUGGAUAGCUUUCUAAAAAGAUUUUUAAUUUUGCUUUGGAACAUACUGUAUGCUGCGGGCUGUAUCAAUUUAUCAUUGAUUGGGGUCUCUCUGAAAUCAUCAUGCAUGCUGGGAGCAUUUUUGUAAUAAAAGAAAGUCUAACCUACAAAUUUUAGAAUAGAACUGCAAUACUGACUUUAAUAAUUAAAGACUUUG